AAUAGGUUUUUGCAUGAUGUACCAUUACAAUAUCACGCAUCAUGAUUCUAGACAUGAAAAUGCACCGCCUUUGUUAUGCAUUUUCAUGUUUUGAAGAUUUAACGAGAAAGCAGAUGGGGCAGCCAGACACUAUUGUCUAGUGUGUACAAUGCGUUGAAUUUGCAACUAACAGCAGUGGAGCAACUAUCUGAAUACCUUUCAAAACAGAUAUCUGAACUAAAUGUUAAAUCAGAGAUUUCCAUCCGUGGCAGAAUACACGAAGGGCAUGCUGGGACCUUCCAAGAGUGCUGAACCCUGAGACUGCACGAAGAAGGAGAGAGUCACUGGAUAGGAGUUUGGCUAGUUUGAGCCUCAGAAAACUACUGUAAAGAGAAUAGCGUGGCAACAACCCUCGAGAUCAGUACUGAUCUUCCGUUCAGGUCAAACAAGAAAAUGUUCGAUUCUCAAAAUGGCAGUUGUCUCCCAGGAAACUGUUAGUGGUAGCCCCAGUUCAUCUUUAGUAGAAUCAUAAACUAG